rnacentral:rRNA from 1 species
UACGAAGGGGGCUAGCGUUGUUCGGAAUCACUGGGCGUAAAGGGCGCGUAGGCGGCCGGAUCAAGUCGGGGGUGAAAGCCUGUGGCUCAACCACAGAAUUGCCUUCGAUACUGUUUGGCUUGAGACCGGAAGAGGUAAGUGGAACUGCGAGUGUAGAGGUGAAAUUCGUAGAUAUUCGCAAGAACACCAGUGGCGAAGGCGGCUUACUGGUCCGGUUCUGACGCUGAGGCGCGAAAAGCGUGGGGAGCAAACAGG